rnacentral:rRNA from 1 species
CCUACGGGAGGCAGCAGUAAGGAAUAUUGGACAAUGCUCGCAAGAGUGAUCCAGCCAUGCCGCGUGCAGGAAGACGGCCCUAUGGGUUGUAAACUGCUUUUGAACUAGAGAAAACCCUCCUACGUGUAGGAGGCUGAUAGUAUAGUUAGAAUAAGCAUCGGCUAACUUCGUGCCAGCAGCCGCGGUAAGACGAAGGAUGCAAGCGUUAUCCGGAUUCAGUUUAGGGGUUUAAAGGGAGCGUAGGUGGACUGAUAAGUCAGUGGUGAAAUCUCUCGGCUUAACCGAGAAAUUGCCAUUGAUACUGUUGGUCUUGAGUACAGUUGCUGUGGGCGGAAUAUGACAUGUAGUGGUGAAAUACAUAGAGAUGUCAUAGAACACCGAUUGCGAAGGCAGCUCACAAAGCUGUAACUGACACUGAGGCUCGAAAGUGCGGGGAUCAAACAGGAUUAGAUACCCUGGUAGUCCGCACCGUAAACGAUGAUUACUCGCUGCUGGGAGGUAACUUUCAGUGGCUUAGCGAAAGCGAUAAGUUAAUUCACCGUUGGGAGUCGCCGGCGACGGUGAACUUCAAANGAAUUGACGGNGNGNGAGCGCGACGGACGACGACGAGGAGGUAG